UAUUGGAAACGAUAGCUAAUACCCCGGAUGUCAUUAUAGUUAGAGAGUAAUGACUAAAGCUCCGGCGCUCUGGGAGGGGCCUGCGGCCCAUCAGCUAGUUGGUAGGGUAAUGGCCUACCAAGGCGAGGACGGGUAGGGGGCGUGAGAGCGUGACCCCCCACACUGGUACUGACACACGGACCAGAUACCUACGGGUAGCAGCAGCAAGGAAUAUUGCCCAAUGGACGAAAGUCUGAGGCAGCAACGCCGCGUGGAGGAAGAAGGCCUUCGGGUUGUAAACUCCUUUCCUGGGGGAAGAGAAAGGACGGUACCCCAGGAAUAAGUCUCGGCUAACUACGUGCCAGCAGCCGCGGUAAAACGUAGGAGGCGAGCGUUAUCCGGAUUUACUGGGCGUAAAGCGCGUGCAGGCGGUUUUCUAAGUCGGACGUGAAAGCUCUCGGCUCAACUGGGAGAGGUCGUUCGAAACUAGGAAACUUGAGGAUGGUAGAGGAGAGUGGAAUUCCCGGUGUAGUGGUGAAAUGCGUAGAUAUCGGGAGGAACACCAGUGGCGAAGGCGGCUCUCUGGGCCACUCCUGACGCUAAGACGCGAAAGCUAGGGGAGAGAACGGGAUUAGAAACCCCGGUAUUCCUAGCCGUAAACGAUGUCAACUAGGUGUAGGGGGUAUCCAACCCCCCUGUGCUGUAGCUAACGCGUUAAGUUGACCGCCUGGGGACUACGGCCGCAAGGCUAAAACUCAAAGGAAUUGACGGGGACCCGCACAAGCAGCGGAGCGUGUGGUUUAAUCCGAGGCUACGCGAAG
rnacentral:rRNA from 1 species